AUGUGGGGCUGGAACUCACAACCUCAAGAUCGAGAGUGGCAUCCUCUACCGAAUGAGCCAGCCAGGAGCCCCUGUAAAUCUACUUUUUGAACUGUAAAUUUUAUGACAUCUAAACACAGAUCAAGUAUUUCCAGUGACUACUUGGCUUUCAAAUUGAGAUUCCUCAACUCCCUUCCUGGAAAAAUAUAACAGAUGAAAUUCUGAGAAGGAGAAAGGUGGUGCUGGUCAAGGAAAGCAUUAUAGAGAAGGUCAGUCAUGCCACCAAGGAAGGAGAACAGAGGCUGUUUCUAGAAUACAGGCUGUACGUGCCAUGGAGCACAGCGGAGACCGGAGACCGCCAGCCUGUAGCAGCGGCAGGAAUCGAUCCUGACAGUGCAGGAAAGAAACUAACAAAGUACAUGGCUCACCUCUAAU